rnacentral:tRNA from 1 species
AACUAACUAGCUCAGUCAGUAGAGCAUGAGACUCUUGAUCUCAGUGUCCUGAGUUCGAGCCCCAUAUUGGGUG